GUCAGGGUGGCCGAGUGGUUAAGGCGUCUGCCUCAAGAGCAGGUCCGCCUGUGGGAUCGUGGGUUCGAAUCCCACCCCUGACA